rnacentral:rRNA from 1 species
AACGAACGCUGGCGGCGUGCCUAACACAUGCAAGUCGAACGAGAAUUUUCCUUUCGGGGAAAUAGUAAAGUGGCGCAAGGGUGAGUAACACGUGAAUAAUCUGCCUACGAAUUCGGGAUAACGCGGCGAAAGCUGUGCUAAUACCGGAUAAGACCACAUCUUCUAAGAGAUGUGGCCAAAGGAACCUCAAAGUUCCGUUUGUAGAUGAGUUCGCGAACCAUUAGCUUGUUGGCGGGAUAAAUAGCCCACCAAGGCGACGAUCAAUAGCUGUUCUUAGAGGAAGACCAGCCACAUUGGGACUGAGACACGGCCCAGACUCCUACGGGAGGCAGCAGUGGGGAAUCUUGCACAAUGGGGGAAAACCCUGAUGCAGCGAUGCCGCGUGAGUGAAG